rnacentral:rRNA from 1 species
UACGUAGGGGGCUAGCGUUGUCCGGAAUCAUUGGGCGUAAAGAGCUCGUAGGCGGUUCAGUAAGUCGGGUGUGAAAACUUUGGGCUUAACCCAAAGCGUGCAUCUGAUACUGCUGUGACUUGAGUUCGGUAGGGGAGUGGGGAAUUCCUAGUGUAGCGGUGAAAUGCGCAGAUAUCAGGAGGAGCACCGAUGGCGAAGGCAGGUCUCUGGGCCGAUACUGACGCUGAGGAGCGAAAGCGUGGGGAGCAAACAGG